rnacentral:rRNA from 1 species
AUUGAACGCUGGCGGCAGGCCUAACACAUGCAAGUCGAACGGUAACAGGAAGCAGCUUGCUGCUUUGCUGACGAGUGGCGGACGGGUGAGUAAUGUCUGGGAAACUGCCCGAUGGAGGGGGAUAACUACUGGAAACGGUAGCUAAUACCGCAUAACGUCGCAAGACCAAAGAGGGGGACCUUAGGGCCUCUUGCCAUCGGAUGUGCCCAGAUGGGAUUAGCUAGUAGGUGGGGUAACGGCUCACCUAGGCGACGAUCCCUAGCUGGUCUGAGAGGAUGACCAGCCACACUGGAACUGAGACACGGUCCAGACUCCUACGGGAGGCAGCAGUGGGGAAUAUUGCACAGUGGGCGCAAGCCUGAUGCAGCCAUGCCGCGUGUAUGAAGAAGGCCUUCGGGUUGUAAAGUACUUUCAGCGGGGAGGAAGGGAGUAAAGUUAAUACCUUUGCUCAUUGACGUUACCCGCAGAAGAAGCACCGGCUAACUCCGU